rnacentral:lncRNA from 1 species
UUGUGAAAUUGGCGUUUUGUGACUGGCUGACUUACUAGAGAUUUCCAUUUUCUUGAGAUAAUCAUCGGAUUCAACGGAAAAUACCCUGUGAAUCCUUGCUGCAAAACAUAAUUGAAUUGUGAUAUAUUCUUGGAUUUCCUUGCAGAUUAAUUUUUAAUCAACAUGUCUUUAUUCGGAUCUUUGAUGGGCGACGUGGAGGAUGAUGAAUUUGAGGAUAUUCCACUUAAAACUACGAAGGGUAGGAAUGGUUUACAAGACAUGGUGUUUACUUCUGGUCCCAUGUCAGCUGCCUGGACCUUCCAUGGCAAUAACCACAUGCCAUACUCAGCCGGGUAUAAAUUUAGAUCAAAAGUCCGUUGAUUGCAUGUACGAACUUUUACCUGCCUAUAUGUUUAAAGUGGUGUCAAUGUUCAAUGUUUUGUGGUUUAUAAUUUGAAAUCGUGGUGUUUGAGUGGUUUGUGUAUUUUAAUACUAAAAAUAUUAAUAAAGCGUAUUAUUGGUAACGAAUA